rnacentral:rRNA from 1 species
UUUAGAACGUCGUGAUCGUGAGACAGUUCGGUCCCUAUCUGCCGUGGGCGCUGGAGAACUGAGGGGGGCUGCUCCUAGUACGAGAGGACCGGAGUGGACGCAUCACUGGUGUUCGGGUUGUCAUGCCAAUGGCACUGCCCGGUAGCUAAAUGCGGAAGAGAUAAGUGCUGAAAGCAUCUAAGCACGAAACUUGCCCCGAGAUGAGUUCUCCCUGAGACUUUAAGUCUCCUGAAGGAACGUUGAAGACGACGACGUUGAUAGGCCGGGUGUGUAAGCGCAGCGAUGCGUUGAGCUAACCGGUACUAAUGAACCGUGAGGCUUAACCUUACAACGCCGAAG